GACGAACGCUGGCGGCGUGCCUAAUACAUGCAAGUCGAGCGGAUCUUUAGGAGCUUGCUCCUAAAGAUUAGCGGCGGACGGGUGAGUAACACGUGGGCAACCUACCUGUAAGACUGGGAUAACUUCGGGAAACCGGAGCUAAUACCGGAUAAUUUCUUUCUCCACAUGGAGGAAGGUUGAAAGACGGUUUCGGCUGUCACUUACAGAUGGGCCCGCGGCGCAUUAGCUAGUUGGUGAGGUAACGGCUCACCAAGGCAACGAUGCGUAGCCGACCUGAGAGGGUGAUCGGCCACACUGGGACUGAGACACGGCCCAGACUCCUACGGGAGGCUG
rnacentral:rRNA from 1 species